UGAGAACUAUGAUCCAGGAGGUUACGCAUCGCAAGAUGGAUUUCUGGGGAGCGAAUGUCAGGUUCAAGAAACCAGGCGGCAG
rfam:Clostridium lentocellum DSM 5427, complete genome.